rnacentral:rRNA from 1 species
AGUGAACGCUGGCGGUAGGCCUAACACAUGCAAGUCGAACGGCAGCACAGUAAGAGCUUGCUCUUACGGGUGGCGAGUGGCGGACGGGUGAGGAAUACAUCGGAAUCUACUUUUUCGUGGGGGAUAACGUAGGGAAACUUACGCUAAUACCGCAUACGACCUACGGGUGAAAGCAGGGGAUCUUCGGACCUUGCGCGAUUGAAUGAGCCGAUGUCGGAUUAGCUAGUUGGCGGGGUAAAGGCCCACCAAGGCGACGAUCCGUAGCUGGUCUGAGAGGAUGAUCAGCCACACUGGAACUGAGACACGGUCCAGACUCCUACGGGAGGCAGCAGUGGGGAAUAUUGGACAAUGGGCGCAAGCCUGAUCCAGCCAUACCGCGUGGGUGAAGAAGGCCUUCGGGUUGUAAGGCCCUUUUGUUGGGAAAGAAAAGCAGCAGGUUAAUACCCCGCUGUUCUGACGGUACCCAAAGAAUAAGCAUCGGCUAACUUCGUG